AUUCAUACAUAUAUAUAGGUAGAUAAAAACCAAAAAUUGUGUGUUCACAAAUAAUAAUAGGUACUUACAAAUAUAUAAUUUCAUAAUGAAACAUAAAAAGUGUACAGACUGAGAAUGGUCUGUAAAUGGAAAAAUCGACAAUUUUUUCUUAAACCCAAUCGUGUAUUAUUUGCAACUGCAGUAGAGCGGUAAUCAACACAAUAAUUGUUUCAACAAUCGACAGUUUUAGUAUUUCGAAAUUAAUAUAAUUUUGGGUAUUUAGUAUUGUGAGUAUUCUAAAAAAAAAAAAAACUUAAAUCAUGUCAAUAACAACAAUUAUUCAACAGAUGAUAACUAAAAACAAUAUCAAACAGAUCACUAGAACAG